rnacentral:SRP_RNA from 2 species
GCCAGGUGUGGUGGUGCACACCUGUAAUCCCAGCUACUCGGGAGGCUGAGGCAGGAGAAUUGCUUGAACCCAGGAGGUGGAAGCUGCAGUGAGCUGAGAUGGCACCACUGCACUCCAGCCUGGGUGACAGAGUGAGAUUCUGUCUCAG